rnacentral:rRNA from 1 species
CAGCAGCCGCGGGAAAACGGAGGGGGCUAGCGUUGUUCGGAAUUACUGGGCGUAAAGCGCACGUAGGCGGCCUGGUAAGUUAGAGGUGAAAGCCUGGAGCUCAACUCCAGAAUUGCCUUUAAGACUGCCGAGCUAGCAGGUGAGAGAGGUAAGUGGAAUUCCGAGUGUAGAGGUGAAAUUCGUAGAUAUUCGGAAGAACACCAGUGGCGAAGGCGGCUUACUGGCUCAUACUGGACGCUGAGGUGCGAAAGCGUGGGGAGCAAACAGGAUUAGAUACCCCCGUAGUCCCUGUCUCUUAUAC